rnacentral:rRNA from 1 species
AGUGAACGCUGGCGGUAGGCCUAACACAUGCAAGUCGAACGGCAGCACAGUAAGAGCUUGCUCUUACGGGUGGCGAGUGGCGGACGGGUGCGGAAUACAUCGGAAUCUACUUUUUCGUGGGGGAUAACGUAGGGAAACUUACGCUAAUACCGCAUACGACCUACGGGUGAAAGCAGGGGAUCUUCGGACCUUGCGCGAUUGAAUGAGCCGAUGUCGGAUUAGCUAGUUGGCGGGGUAAAGGCCCACCAAGGCGACGAUCCGUAGCUGGUCUGAGAGGACGAUCAGCCACACUGGAACUGAGACACGGUCCAGACUCCUACGGGAGGCAGCAGUGGGGAAUAUUGGACAAUGGGCGCAAGCCUGAUCCAGCCAUACCGCGUGGGUGAAGAAGGCCUUCGGGUUGUAAAGCCCUUUUGUUGGGAAAGAAAAGCAGCAGGUUAAUACCCCGCUGUUCUGACGGUACCCAAAGAAUAAGCACCGGCUAACUUCGUG